rnacentral:miRNA from 1 species
CAGACCCUCCCUCCCAGACCCUCCCACCUCCUGGACAGCUCACUAAGAAUGCAGCUUCACAAUGGAUGCUGUCCAGGAGGUGGGAGGGUCUGGGAGGGAGGGUCUA